UGGCAGGGCUCGCUGCUGCUUAGUGGAACCUAGCACCAGGUUCGAUUUCCUGAUCCUCAUGGGCUCUUUCCCUCAGCAAGGCGGCACUGGUUCACUGAAAGCAAUGCCCGUCUUCAGAACGUUAUAACUCUCGAUUUACUCUGACCCCGAUUUCCCAGUUCACUAUCCUGUUAAGCCAUUCGGCAGAACAUACUGAGCUAAAGAAAACGUUAACGAUUCUCACCGUCGGCCAGAGAGACCAGCAGAGCGAGCCCAAAGAGUUUCAUCUGGAGAUUGUCAAGCGGUUCGAAGAUCCGGUUCCAAUUCGCCGCAGAAGACUUCUUCCCUACAAAUCUGGGCGCUGUCAGUGAUGAGCAUGGUGAAUGGUUUCACUGGGACAUUGUGGUCAUGGAGAAAUGCUAUCAGGGUAACCGGAAUCCAUCAACAACAGCAGAUUAUGGAUGAACACGGACGCAAGAAGCCUCAGACACUGAGUAAAAACAGAAAUCAUCAAUAAAACAUUUUAGCUUAGUCGAACUAUUGCAAAGUGUCAGGACCAUUGUGCAAUUAAAUGCAUUUUUUCAAUAAAAGUUAAUUUCUUGUUUCUCCAAAUUCCUACCCGAUAGACUCCAAAUUUCCACCUGAUAGUUUGAAAUAUUUGUGUUCAGCCUCAUGAGGUCUAUAAUAAACAAAAAAAAAU